rnacentral:rRNA from 1 species
CUACGGGGCGCUGCAGUGAGGAAUAUUGCACAAUGGGGGGAACCCUGAUGCAGCAACGCCGCGUGGAGGAUGACGCAUUUCGGUGUGUAAACUCCUUUUAUAUGUCAAGAAAAUGACGGUAGCAUAUGAAUAAGCACCGGCUAACUCCGUGCCAGCAGCCGCGGUAAUACGGAGGGUGCAAGCGUUACUCGGAACCACUGGGCGUAAAGGACGCGUAGGCGGGUUGGAAAGUCAGGUGUGAAAUCCUACAGCUUAACUGUAGAACUGCACUUGAAACUUCUAAUCUAGAGUAUGGGAGGGGGAGAUGGAAUUAGUGGUGUAGGGGUAAAAUCCGUAGAUAUCAAUAGGAAUACCUAAAGCGAAGGCGAUCUCCUGGAACAUUACUGACGCUAAGGCGUGAAAGCGUGGGGAGCAAACAGGAUUAGAUACCCCGGUAGUC